rnacentral:rRNA from 1 species
UACGGAGGGGGCCAGCGUUGUUCGGAAUUAUUGGGCGUAAAGGGCUCGUAGGUGGCCAACUAAGUCGGACGUGAAAUCCCUCGGCUUAACCGGGGAACUGCAUCCGAUACUGGAUGGCUUGAAUUCGGGAGAGGGAUGCAGAAUUCCAGGUGUAGCGGUGAAAUGCGUAGAUAUCUGGAGGAAUACCGGUGGCGAAGGCGGCAUCCUGGACCGACAUUGACGCUGAUGAGCGAAAGCUAGGGGAGCAAACGGGG